GCUAUAUGCGUGAGAUUUACUAAACAUGGCGUGAGAGCGUGAGAGUGCAGCGAAUUGCGUGAGACUCACGCCGAAUGCGUGAGAGUUGAGAGGUCUGGGUAUGCGCGAGGCGACAUGCGCGGCUUCAAAAACUUCAAAGGUUUACAAGGUCUAUUGGAUACAAAAUUUUUGCGCGGUUCAAAUGCUCGACUUUAUAUGGGAGUUUUUUAACAUUUUU